ACGGCCCGCGUUUCACCGCUCGUGUUGCACUCGCCGACGAAUUCUGCAUAAAGUCAGAUCUGUGACUCUGUAGUGAUAAUACUUUGUCUGAAAUUGUGAUUUAUUUUCUAUUCAUAGUUUUGUGGAUUUAUAGCACAGCAUAGUGCUCUGGAAACCACGGGCAGUAUGGCAACAGAGGAGGGAGUACCAGUGGACCUGUACAUAUAUGACCUAACACAUGGACUGGCUUCUGUAUUUUCAGCGAACAUUUUAGGUGAUGAUCUUCUCUUCAUCAAGAAUUCAGCAGACACUGAUGG